CGGACGGGUGAGUAACGCGUGGAAAACCUGCCGUAUACUGGGGGAUAACACUUAGAAAUAGGUGCUAAUACCGCAUAAGCGCACAGCUACGCAUGAAGCGGUGUGAAAAACUCUGGUGGUAUACGAUGGUUCCGCGUCUGAUUAGCUAGUUGGUGGGGUAAUGGCCUACCAAGGCAACGAUCAGUAGCCGGCCUGAGAGGGUGAACGGCCACAUUGGGACUGAGACACGGCCCAAACUCCUACGGGAGGCAGCAG
rnacentral:rRNA from 1 species